rnacentral:rRNA from 1 species
AUUGAACGCUGGCGGCAGGCCUAACACAUGCAAGUCGAACGAGUGGCGGACGGGUGAGUAAUGUCUGGGAAAUUGCCUGAUGGAGGGGGAUAACAACAGGAAACGGUAGUUAAUACCGCAUACCACCUGAUGUGCCCAGAUGGGAUUAGCUAGUAGGUGGGGUAAAGUCUCACCUAGGCGACGAUCCCUAGAUGGUCUGAGAGGAUGACCAGCCACACUGCAGUGGAGACACGGUCCAGACUCCUACGGGAGGCAGCAGUGGGGAAUAUUGCACAAUGGGCGCGAGCCUGAUGCAGCCGUGCCGCGUGUAUGAAGAAGGCCUUCGGGUUGUAAAGUAAUUUCAGCAGGGAGGCGUUACCCGCAGAAGAAGCACCGGCUAACUCCGUGCCAGCAGCCGCGGUAAUUC